CCUUUUGCAUCAUGAUUUAGCCAGCACCCUCAAGCAAAGAGCCCUUUAGUUUGAAACCCCGAAACCAGGUGAGCUACCCCGAGACAGCCUAUUAAUUUAGGGCUAACCCGUCUCUGUGGCAAAAGAGUGGGAAGAGCUCCGGGUAGAAGUGACAGACCUACCGAACCUGGUGAUAGCUGGUUGCCUGAGAAGUGGAUAGAAGUUCAGCCUCGUACGCCCCAUACCAAAGAAUAUAACGCUAGGGUGUCCAGGGAAAGAUAUGAGAGUUAGUUGAAGGGGGUACAGCCCCUUUAACAAAGGAUACAACCUUCGCAGGAGGAUAAAGAUCAUAAUAUAUAAAACACACCGUUCUAGUGGGCCUAGAGGCAGCCACCUAAACAGAAAGCGUUAAAGCUCAGACGGGAAGAAGUUUAUUAUACCGAUAAAAAAUCUUACUCCCCUAAUUUUAUCAGGCCAACCCAUGCCUA
rnacentral:rRNA from 1 species